GGGUGAGGUGUGGAGUGUGGCUGGCCACCAGCCUGCAGGAGGGAGGGCUGGAAGGUGGGGAUGUGGGGAAGGGCUGGAGAAGAAAAGAGAAAUACAUGCCUUGAAUCACAACUUCCUCUCAACAAGGCUGUUAGGGCCCUGGGUGGUGGUGGGAUCAUCAGCUGGGAGUGGGGUGUCUGAGCAUGGCUGGCCAUCUGCCUACUGAUCCCAGAGCUCUCAGCCCAGCUGAGGCUGCACAUGUGGACCUUCUGCAUCCUGGUACCUCCUGGCCCGAUCAGGCUCAGUGUCUGUUGCUUUCCAGAACCCCGGCUACUAUGACAUUCAGGCCAAGGACCUGGGCAUCUGGCAUGUGCCCAACAAGUCCCCCAUGCAGCAUUGGAGAAACAGCGCCCUGCUGAGGUACCGCACCAACACUGGCUUCCUCCAGAGACUGGGACAUAAUCUGUUUGGCAUCUACCAGAAAUACCCAGUGAAAUACAGAUCAGGGAAAUGUUGGAAUGACAAUUGCCCAGACAUACCUGUGGUCUAUGACUUUGGUGAUGCUAAGAAGACUGCAUCUUAUUACUCACCGUAUGGUCAACGGGAAUUUGUUGCAGGAUUCAUUCAGUUCCAGGUGUUUAAUAAGGAGAGAGCAGCCAACGCCCUUUGUGCUGGGAUAAAAGUUACUGGCUGUAACACUGAGCAUCACUGCAUCGGUGGAGGAGGGUUCUUCCCAUAGGGCAAGCCUCGUCAGUGUGGGGACUUCUCCGCCUUUGACUGGGAUGGAUAUGGAGCUCACAUUAAGAGCAGCUGUAGUCAGGAGAUAAUGGAGGUGGCUGAACUCUUGUUCUAUAGAUGAGACAGAGCUCUGAGGUGUCAGGGAGAGAACCCAUCUUCCAACCCCG
rnacentral:sRNA from 1 species